AUGUUGUUUGCUCCUUUUCCAGUGUUGCUUCUUCGGGUUGGUUCCGAUAACGUCGCGUUUGUGAGGAUUCGUUCGACUACGCCCGUUUGUCUUCUUCAUGGACUCGUUCUUCUUCCUUGUGGGAUCUCAGGCAAGAUGACCAUACCCUCGAAAUCACUUCUAUCUUUGCUUGCUAGUUGCUCUCUCUAUUGCUAUGCCUAUGCUGCGAUAGCUACCACUUGCUUUAUCAUGCCUCCCAUAUUGCUAAGCCAAGCCUCUAACCCACCUUGUUGUAGCAAACCAUUGUUUGGCUAUGUUACCUCUUUGCUCAGCCCCUCUUAUAGCGUUGCUAGUUGCAGGCGAAGAUUGGAGUUUGUUCCUUGUUGGAACUUGGAUAUUUUGUUGGGAUAUGACAAUAUCUCUUAUUUAAUUAAUGCAUCUAUAUACUUGGUAGAGGGUGGAAGGCUCGGCCUUAUGCCUGGUGUUUUGUUCCACUCUUGCCGCCCUAGUUUCCGUCAUACCGGUGUUACGUUCCUUGAUUUUGCGUCCCUUAUGCGGUUGGGUUAUAAUGGGAACCCCUUGAUAGUUCGCCUUGAAUAA
rnacentral:rRNA from 1 species